rnacentral:rRNA from 1 species
UGACACAGGUGCUGCAUGGCUGUCGUCAGCUCGUGUCGUGAGAGUGUUGGGUUAAGUCCCGCAACGAGCGCAACCCUUGUCCUUAGUUACCAGCACGUUAUGGUGGGCACUCUAAGGAGACUGCCGGUGACAAACCGGAGGAAGGUGGGGAUGACGUCAAGUCAUCAUGGCCCUUACGGCCUGGGCUACACACGUGCUACAAUGGUCGGUACGAAGGGUUGCCAAGCCGCGAGGUGGAGCUAAUCCCAUAAAACCGAUCGUAGUCCGGAUCGCAGUCUGCAACUCGACUGCGUGAAGUCGGAAUCGCUAGUAAUCGUGAAUCAGAAUGUCACGGUGAAUACGUUCCCGGGCCUU